GACGAACGCUGGCGGCGUGCUUAACACAUGCAAGUCGAACGAAGUGGCGAACGGGUGAGUAACGCGUAAUCACCCUGCCCUUAAGAGGGGGAAAACAGUUGGAAACGACUGCUACUACCCCAUACUGAAGGAGGGGAGUGCGUCCGAUCAGCUCGUUGGAGGGGUAACGGCCCCCCAAGGCGAUGAUCAGUAGCCGGUCUGCGAGGAUGAACGGCCCCAUUUGGCCUGAGGCACGGCCCCGACUCCUUCGGGAUGCAGCCGUGGGGACUCUUCCGCAAUUGACGAAAGUCUGACGGUGCAACGCCGCGGGCGUUGUGACAGCCUUCGGGUUGGUAAGCUCUGUUAAUCGGGACGCGGUACCGGAAUAGAAAGCCACGGCUAACUACGUGCCAGCAGCCGCGGUAAUUC
rnacentral:rRNA from 1 species